GGGUUGUGAGGUUAAGCGACUAAGCGUACACGGUGGAUGCCCUGGCAGUCAGAGGCGAUGAAGGACGUGCUAAUCUGCGAUAAGCGUCGGUAAGGUGAUAUGAACCGUUAUAACCGGCGAUUUCCGAAUGGGGAAACCCAGUGUGUUUCGACACACUAUCAUUAACUGAAUCCAUAGGUUAAUGAGGCGAACCGGGGGAACUGAAACAUCUAAGUACCCCGAGGAAAAGAAAUCAACCGAGAUUCCCCCAGUAGCGGCGAGCGAACGGGGAGCAGCCCAGAGCCUGAAUCAGUGUGUGUGUUAGUGGAAGCGUCUGGAAAGGCGCGCGAUACAGGGUGACAGCCCCGUACACAAAAAUGCACAUGCUGUGAGCUCGAUGAGUAGGGCGGGACACGUGGUAUCCUGUCUGAAUAUGGGGGGACCAUCCUCCAAGGCUAAAUACUCCUGACUGACCGAUAGUGAACCAGUACCGUGAGGGAAAGGCGAAAAGAACCCCGGCGAGGGGAGUGAAAAAGAACCUGAAACCGUGUACGUACAAGCAGUGGGAGCACGCUUAGGCGUGUGACUGCGUACCUUUUGUAUAAUGGGUCAGCGACUUAUAUUCUGUAGCAAGGUUAACCGAAUAGGGGAGCCGAAGGGAAACCGAGUCUUAACUGGGCGUUAAGUUGCAGGGUAUAGACCCGAAACCCGGUGAUCUAGCCAUGGGCAGGUUGAAGGUUGGGUAACACUAACUGGAGGACCGAACCGACUAAUGUUGAAAAAUUAGCGGAUGACUUGUGGCUGGGGGUGAAAGGCCAAUCAAACCGGGAGAUAGCUGGUUCUCCCCGAAAGCUAUUUAGGUAGCGCCUCGUGAAUUCAUCUCCGGGGGUAGAGCACUGUUUCGGCAAGGGGGUCAUCCCGACUUACCAACCCGAUGCAAACUGCGAAUACCGGAGAAUGUUAUCACGGGAGACACACGGCGGGUGCUAACGUCCGUCGUGAAGAGGGAAACAACCCAGACCGCCAGCUAAGGUCCCAAAGUCAUGGUUAAGUGGGAAACGAUGUGGGAAGGCCCAGACAGCCAGGAUGUUGGCUUAGAAGCAGCCAUCAUUUAAAGAAAGCGUAAUAGCUCACUGGUCGAGUCGGCCUGCGCGGAAGAUGUAACGGGGCUAAACCAUGCACCGAAGCUGCGGCAGCGACGCUUAUGCGUUGUUGGGUAGGGGAGCGUUCUGUAAGCCUGCGAAGGUGUGCUGUGAGGCAUGCUGGAGGUAUCAGAAGUGCGAAUGCUGACAUAAGUAACGAUAAAGCGGGUGAAAAGCCCGCUCGCCGGAAGACCAAGGGUUCCUGUCCAACGUUAAUCGGGGCAGGGUGAGUCGACCCCUAAGGCGAGGCCGAAAGGCGUAGUCGAUGGGAAACAGGUUAAUAUUCCUGUACUUGGUGUUACUGCGAAGGGGGGACGGAGAAGGCUAUGUUGGCCGGGCGACGGUUGUCCCGGUUUAAGCGUGUAGGCUGGUUUUCCAGGCAAAUCCGGAAAAUCAAGGCUGAGGCGUGAUGACGAGGCACUACGGUGCUGAAGCAACAAAUGCCCUGCUUCCAGGAAAAGCCUCUAAGCAUCAGGUAACAUCAAAUCGUACCCCAAACCGACACAGGUGGUCAGGUAGAGAAUACCAAGGCGCUUGAGAGAACUCGGGUGAAGGAACUAGGCAAAAUGGUGCCGUAACUUCGGGAGAAGGCACGCUGAUAUGUAGGUGAAGUCCCUUGCGGAUGGAGCUGAAAUCAGUCGAAGAUACCAGCUGGCUGCAACUGUUUAUUAAAAACACAGCACUGUGCAAACACGAAAGUGGACGUAUACGGUGUGACGCCUGCCCGGUGCCGGAAGGUUAAUUGAUGGGGU
rnacentral:rRNA from 1 species